ensembl:lncRNA
UUUUUUUUUUUUUUUUUUUGUCUUUUUAGGGCUGUGCCUGCGACACAUGGAAAUUUCCAGGCUAGGGGUCCAAUGCAGGAUCUGAGCCUCAUCUGCAACCUACACCACAGCUCACAGCAACUCCAGAUCCUUAACCCACUGAGGGAGGCCAGGGAUUGAACCUGAGUCCUCAUGGAUACUAGUUGGGUUCCUUAUCAUAGAGCCACAAUGGUAACUCUGAAAAGUUCACAGUGGGGUGCGAUAUUUUCAAAGGUUCAGCUGGGAUGUAUUAUGGAUAACUGGAGAGAUCAAAAGAGAGGGGCUAAUAGACUAUCACAGCAUUUCAAGUCAGAGCGACAUGAUGGUGUGUUGAACCGGGGGUGGGGGGCAGUGAGGGUAGAGAGAGAAGUCUGUACCUACGUGAGCUGGCUCUUCUGCACAUGCGACCUGGCUGGCUGUGCCCUUUUUCACAGCUCAUUAGGCCAAAGCAUUUAAGUCAUAGUUUCCUUCUUGGGAAAUAAUUGCCUCCCUUUCUGUAAAUAGUAUAGCUCUACUUAUUUACAGUAUGUCAAGAACAGUGUUUAGGACAAGCAGGCACUAUCAGGAAGAUCUCACUAAUACAAGGUUAAUUCAUAUCUGGAUAGUAAUAGGUAUUAAGUGAAACGGUAUCUCUUCAACCCUUUGAUAAGGGACCCUUGAUACAUGAUACAUGGAAAAUAAUUGGUUUCAUGUAAUGAAUAAAAUGAUAACAAUAAGAUUAAAUGGUACACCUGGAUUUCUCAUAAAUAGCUUAAAUCAUCAGAAUUAUAAUUGAACCAUGUGCAUUUUGUUUAGACUGCUCAGCCCUAUUCUUUUAAAAAAUUUUUUUAAAAAGUAUAGUUUAUUUACAAUGUUGUGCUAAUUUCUGCUGUACCACAACAUGACUCAGUCAUACAUACAUACAUACACAUUCUUUUUUUUUAAUAUCUAUUAAGCACUGUUCUUGACAAUGAGAAAAUGCAGUGAACUAAACAAAGUUUCUGUCCUUAUGGAGCUUCUGUUGUAGUGAAGGAGACAGAUAAUAAAUCCCUAAACAAUAAAUGAACCACUACAAUGACUACUAUUGUCAUCAUUACUGCCAGUGUUCCUAUACUGCUAAUAAUGAUGAUUGACACUUAUCUAAUGCUUACAGUGGGCCAAGCAUUGUUCUCAUUCUUUCACAGACAUUAACUCCCUUAAUUCUCACAACUCUCUUCCAAGUAGGUGCUGUAAGAACUCCCAUUUUUACAGAUGAAGCGCACAUGGCUUAUGUAGGUCCAAGGUCACCUGGCUGUAAGUGAGAGAGUAACAUAAUGUCAGUGAUAAAUAUUAAGAAUAAAAACGGCCCAUGCCUGGCGUCCCCGUCAUGGCUCAGUGGUAACGAAGCUGACUAGUAUCCAUGAGGACGCAGGUUUGAUCCCUGGCCUCACUCAGUGGGUUAAAGAUCCGGCCUUGCCAUGGGGUGUAUGUUGCAGACAAGGGUCAGAUCUGGUAUUUCUGUGGCUGUGGUGGAGGCCUGCAGCUGUAGCUCCUAUUGGACCCCUACCCUGGGAACUUCCAUAAGAUACAGGCUUGGCCCUAAAAAACAAACAAAAAUGGCCCAUGCCUGCCAUCUACAGAUUUGGCCAAUGGGAGUAAUAGAACAUAGAGAGUAACAACAUAGCUUUGGGAUCUGAGCUCUUGGGUCAAUGUGCUAUAUCGGAGCUCUGUGACUUUAGGCAAGUGAUGUUGUUUAUUUUGGGCCUGAGAUUUCUCAUCUGUUAAAUGAUGAUAAUGCAACCUAGUUAAUGGGGUUUCUGAAAGCCUAAAAUAAGAUGAAAUUGUGUAAUGAUUGUAAAGGACUUAGCACAAGCCUGGCAUACAAUGUAUACGUAAAAAUUAAACAACAGGGCAAAAACAAAGUCAAGAGAAAACCGAUUGCUUGGGGCUGAAUGUUUCUGGGGCGGGAAAUAAUUGUGUUUCCUUAAGGAUUCAGUAAGUUGGAAGACUAAGAAGGAAUCGAGGAGACUCAGAUCUUUCUGAGGGAGAUGGACUCUUCCGGAAAUGAUCAUUUCUGGCAGAUGUGUGAGGGUAAGGGGCUCAGGCUGGCUAGACGUGAGCUUUGGAGCAGGGGAGAAUCCCCUAGGGGAUUGUGGGACCUGAUACAUCCCGGAGCCGGGGUCUGGCGUUGGAAGGGGUCGUACAGUCCCUCUUCGUCCUAAAACACAGGCUGAAAGAAAAAAGAGCUGGGCCAGCCUGGAGCCUUGUUACUGAAAGACAUCUCACUGGGCAACGUAGAGGUGGCUCUUUAUACAGAUCUAACAGCAGAGAACUUGGCCUGAAGCGAUGACGUCUGUUUUCAUUAGCCUUAGACAACCUCAUAACCAUCCCGUUCGCUCUUCUCAGACUUACUCUGCUCAGCAGGAACCUAGAUGAUAUUUCCCAUUCUUGAAAAAUGGAAAGAAAAUCUUUUUUUUAGUUGUCAGGCAUGUGUUCCUCAGUUGUUCUCUUCUUCCCGUGAUCAUGGUGUUUGCUUGUUAAGCGAUUCUGCUUCAUUAUUACCAGUCUGAGAUGGGGCCAAGUUCCUUCAAAGGAGAUCUUGAGAGAUGUGUUAGUUGUGGUUGGUUGGUUACUGGUAUACUGAAGAGAUGUAGGCUUUGUGAUCCCAGAGUGAUUUCUUGUUCAAUCUAAGAGACUUUAGGAACUAUGAUCUUUGCCCAAGGUCAAAAUAAAAAAGUUUCAUUCUGGCAUUAGAAUGUACAUUAGCACUGGAGGCAAAACUCAUAGUUUGGGAGUUCCUGUCAUGGUUCAGUGAUAAUGAACCCGAGUAGGAUCCAUGAGGAUGUGGGUUCGAUCCCUGGCUUCGCUCAGUGGCUUAAAGAUCGGGCGUUGCGGUGAGCUGUGGUAUAGGCCAGCAGCUGUAGCUCUGAUUAGACCCCUAGCCUGGGAACUUCUAUAUGCUGUGGGUGCAUCCCUAAAAUGCAAAAAAACCAAAACCAAAACCAAAACAAAACAAAACAAAAAAGCCCUCAUGGUUUGGAAGUAAAAAAAUGAAUGAAUUUUGAUGCUAAAUUUUGCCAAAAUUAAAUUUGGGGAAGCUCCAUUUAACCUAGAUAUGACAUCCUUUUUUCAGUGGUAAAUGGGGAUAGUAAAGGUCCAUAAGACCCAUGUAUUAGACUGUGGUGUAACUGCAACAGAAUUUGUCUCUAACUUGCUUGGGGACAGUCAAUCCAGAGAGAAUCGUUUACUGCAAUAACUUUAUGGGGACAGGAGGCACAUAGAGUACACUUUGUUAUAUUAGAAAACAUGGAGUUUAACACCUCAUAUCCUUAAUGAAAAAUUUAUUUAAAAAAUAAACAUGCUUUCAGACCACUUGAUUGUCUUUAGCGCACUUGAGAAGUUGACUAAGUGGAAGUGCUGGGGGAAGAAUCCCCACAUAUUUGUCAUGAUCAAUAUUAAUAUGCUUUAAUUAAAUGACUAAGAGUAUAUGACCCUUUGCUGAACACCUAAAAAAUGCUUGCUGGUGGCACACAUCAGUAAGGUCUACCAGAUGCCGUGUGGGCACUUUUGAGCCUUUCUAAGUCAGUCGAAGCUGGAGUUCCCAAUUGCUUCUUUGGUCUCUACUUUUAAAAUUAAUAUAUGUAUUUCCAGUUUGGGCCUCCAUAUAUUCUUUGGAUUCAAAUGCCUGAUAGGUUUUAGUUAAAUUUUCUGAGACAGGUAACAUGGAAUGACUAAUUGUCACCACUGCAAGUUCAAGCUGUAUUCAUUUAUGUAUAUUCUUACCUGUAAGUCUAAGUAGGUGCCCAAUAAAUAUGAGUAAACCUAUUAAUAGCCACCCCCAGUGUGAGUGAUUAGCACUCUCCUCCUUUAUUUGAAAGACUCUGUUCUUGAAGUGUGAAACCACAUUGACAUAUCAUUGAUGGACAAUCAACAUUUGAUGGACUGUUUUGAAUCACUCCCAGCAGUUCCAAUAAGAGAUUAAAAAGAACAACAGCACAAAAGAACAAGAUUUUUUAAAAAGGCUUCAGGGAAACCAGCCUAUAAACCUGACAAGCGCUUUGAGUGGCACUGGGAUAAUAGUCUUUUUGCAAAGACACACAUUAGUAGUUCUAGACUGGAUUGAUGGACUGGUAGGCAACAUCUGAGCAAAAAGAUUGCCUUUUCAGUAUUAAAAAGAGUCCAUUUCACAUUAACUUUUCAAACAUUUUUGCUGCUAUUCUAGCAAAUCAAAUGCAUCAUUCUCUUUUAAAAAAAAAUUCAAAUAUGAAGAGGACCAUAUCUUCAUUUGGCACCACAGGCUCUGAGUAAAUAAUGGUUGAAUUAAUGAAAGAAUGAAGUGACCCAUGCGGAGUAGAGCGUGAGGACAUCCCCCAGCUCGGGGAACGUGGUGUCUCCGCCACGCUCUCCAUAGCCCGCUCCUGGCCUUGGUGGGGACAGAGGCAGUGUCAGCCUAGGUAACACUGCCUUUACAGAGCUCAGGCUCUAAAAACGUUAGGGGGACAAGGAAAGGAAAGUGAGUAUUUCUGUUUUUAUAUCCCCAAAGCUCAGAAUAUUUCUACUCUUCCUCAGUCACCACAUUCUUUCACUAAUUCAGCAGUUAUUUAUCCAGUGCCUCCUGUGCCAGAUGCUGAAGUCAUCUAUGAACCCACUAAGUCACAAUGGAGUUUUCCAGUGUUUCUUAUGUAACUCUUUAAAAAACAAAACAAAACUGUGCCUGCCGAGUAACCACACCCACACUAUUCUGCCCUAUGAAGACAUAUUUCUCUUCAUUUUGAAUUUUAUUUAAACAAUAGAGAAUGAUGCUUUUGAUUUGCUAGGAACUCAGCAAAAAAUGUUUGAAAAAGUUAAUGUGAGACUGACGUUUUUAUAUUGAAAAGGCAGUCAUUUUUCUCAGGCCAGAUAUGGGGUCCACCCCUCUCUACUUCUUGUUUCUGUUCACGUGCUGCUGUCCUGCUUGCAGUGCAUCUGUUUUUCCUCCCAGGACUGAGGUGGUGUUACACCAAAGGGCUCAUAAGGCAAUAGAGAGUAGAGCUCAAGAGCUGGGGUCUUAGACCACACUGCCUGGAUUGCAAGCCCGAUUCUACAUGCGUGAUUCUGAGAUGUUGAGCAAUUUGCUUUAACCUCCCUAUAACCCAGAUUCUUGCUCUUAGAGUAGAAUUUCAUUAUUCAACAGUUAUCUGUUUUGCUGCCUCUCUGGGAAGGGCACCAUUCUGGGAGCUGAGAGUACAGUCAUAAACAACUCAGAUAAGUUCCCUGCUGUCGUGGAACUUAAGUUCUAGAUGGGAAAUAGACAAUGAACAAAUAAAUGGAUACUGUCAAAAUGAUAAGAGCUACGCAGAAAAAUAAAGCUUACUAAGAGAAUAAAGAGUGUUUAGAUGGAGUUCUCAGAACAGUCUUCUCUUAGCAGAUGACUUUAACCAGAGGUUCAAAUGCAGUGAAGAAUAAGCCAUGCAUGUAACUUGCAUGCAGUUUCCUUUCACAGGAAACUGGAGGUGCCAAGGCCCUGAGGCUAAAAUGUGUCUAGGAUAAGGAUAUUAUCUAUUAAAUACAGUUAUUGUGAGUUAAUUCAUUUAAGGACUUUAAAUAGAGCCUUACAUAAAUAUUUCUUAAGAAAUGCUGGUUGUUAGUAUUGUAAGACUGCUUCAUAUAUUCUGGCCUGGCUAGUUCAGGUCCCCACCUGACCCGAGGCCACCCUGGUGUUUGGGGACACCGCUACAUCCUGCUUCCUGCUGGUAAAGCUAGUUGCUGUGCUAGCUAGUACGGUGCUGUGUCUCACUGGCUGCUCAUCCUUGGUUUCUAUUGGCCAGACCUCCAUUCAACUCCUUCAAUCAACACUGCUUUCUUCUUUGUAGAUUUCUGUAGCUAGUCCUGCCUGUGUCAUCUGCCAAGUUCCAGCCCUCUGUCUACCACAGUGUCAGGGAUCCAGGACAAUUGUUUAUCACAGAAGACUGCUCCCAACACAUGUUUCAUUGGGGGUCUGUGUUUUUGUCAAAUAGCUACUUCUCUCUUUGAACUGAAGAAGCCCCAAUCAUGGUGGAGCUUAUUAGACUACCCACCUGCUCAAUGGGGGCUCUGGUGGCCUUAUGAAAGAAUAAUGGGUAAACUCCCACGGAGCUGCCACUGCCUCAGUGCACUCACCGAUGGAGGCUUGCUCCUGCUCCCAUGAUCUCAUGACCUUCUGAAACAGUUCUGCUCAAUUGUUCGUGAUUCAUCUCCCUUUUUUUUUAAGAAAAUUAUAUUUCUGUUAAAUAUAAAUGUCAUCCAUAUUUGGAUAUGUGACAAGCGGGAAAUGGCAUUGCUCUGGCUGUGCACACAGCUGUGCCAUUUGGUGUCUGUGGAUGUAAGAGCCUGGCUAGCUACAGAACUUUCUGAGGGAGCAUGUCUUAUAUGACCAUCUGCUCCA